GCUCAACAGCUAGCUAAACCGCCUGGAAUAAAUAAACAACAUAAAUAACCUAACAAGAACCAAAAACAAUAAACAAACCAUUUUUCCACCCUAGUAUGGGAGACAGAAAAGGAACCGCAGAGCAAUAGAAAAAGUACCGCAAGGGAACGCUGAAAGAGAAAUGAAACAACCCAUUUAAGCCUAAAAAAGCAGAGAUAAGCCCUCGUACCUUUUGCAUCAUGAUUUAGCCAGCACAAUCCGAGCAAAGAGAACUUUAGUUCGGAACCCCGAAACCGAGUGAGCUACUCCGAGACAGCCAAUCAUAUGGGCCAACCCGUCUCUGUGGCAAAAGAGUGGGAAGAGCUCCGAGUAGAGGUGACAGACCUACCGAACCCGGUUAUAGCUGGUUGCCUAAGAAAUGGAUAGAAGUUCAGCCCCUCACCCCUCAGGUCACAACAGUAAUACGAAUACUAGACCACGAGAGAAGAAAGGGAGUUAGUCAGAGGAGGUACAGCUCCCCUGACCCAGGACACAACCUUACCAGGAGGCCAAGGAUCACACUCAGAAAGGUCGACCGUUUCAGUGGGCCUAAGAGCAGCCACCUGCACAGAAAGCGUUAAAGCUCAGACGGACUAAAGACCCCUUAUCCUGAUAAUCAACCCCCAACCCCCUAAUAGUACUAGGCCGCCCUAUGCCCCCAUAGAAGAGAUAAUGCUAAAAUGAGUAAUAAGAAGGACGCCCUUCUCCCAGCACAUGUGUAAGUUAGUCCGGACCCGCCACUGACAAAUAACGAACCCAACCUAAGAGAGUACUGCAGAUUAAAACAUAGCCUAGAAAACUCCGCACACACACAUCGUUAACCCCACACAGGAGUGCCCACAAGAGGAAAGACCCAAAGGAAAAGAAGGAACUCGGCAAACACAAGCCUCGCCUGUUUACCAAAAACACCGCCUCCUGUAAACCAAAGUAUAGGAGGUCCCGCCUGCCCUGUGACCCCCAAGUUUAACGGCCGCGGUAUCUUGACCGUGCGAAGGUAGCGCAAUCACUUGUCUUUUAAAUGAGGACCUGUAUGAAUGGCAUCACGAGGGCUUAGCUGUCUCCUUUUCCAAGUCAAUGAAAUUGAUCUACCCGUGCAGAAGCGGGUAUACCCCUACAAGACGAGAAGACCCUGUGGAGCUUAAGACACAAGGUCAACUACGUCAAACAACCAAACUAAAAGGCACAAACAAAGUAUGAACAUGACCAACAUGUCUUCGGUUGGGGCGACCGCGGGGGAAAAACAAGCCCCCACGUGGACUGGGAUUACCCCCUAAAGCCAAGAGGCACACCUCUAAGCCUCAGAACAUCUGACCAUAAAUGAUCCGGCUAAAGCCGAUCAACGAACCGAGUUACCCCAGGGAUAACAGCGCAAUCCUCUCCCAGAGUCCAUAUCGACGAGGGGGUUUACGACCUCGAUGUUGGAUCAGGACAUCCUAAUGGUGCAGCCGCUAUUAAGGGUUCGUUUGUUCAACGAUUAAAGUCCUACGUGAUCUGAGUUCAGACCGGAGUAAUCCAGGUCAGUUUCUAUCUGUAACGCUGCUUUUCCUAGUACGAAAGGACCGGAAAAGAAGGGCCCAUGCCCCUGGUACGCCCUACCCCCACCUGAUGAAGACAACUAAACCAGACAAAGGGGUGCAACCCUCCAGCCCUAGACAAGGGCAU
rnacentral:rRNA from 1 species